rnacentral:rRNA from 1 species
CGUCUCAGUUCGGAUUGCAGGCUGCAACUCGCCUGCAUGAAGUCGGAAUUGCUAGUAAUCGCGGAUCAGCAUGCCGCGGUGAAUACGUUCCCGGGCCUUGUACACACCGCCCGUCACACCAUGAGAGCCGGGAACACCCGAAGUCCGUAGUCUAACCAUUAAGGAGGACGCGGCCGAAGGUGGGUUUGGUAAUUGGGGUGAAGUCGUAACAAGGUAAC